rnacentral:lncRNA from 1 species
UUAGGCCCAGAACCAAGGGGGUACAACUUACGAGGGAAGUGUGAAAAUUGAUGCAUGCUUGCGCCUCAUAUUGAAUCCAAACGAAUCGGCAUUGAAUUCAUCAUUUCAACUUCACCGAAUCAAAUUUGCAAAAUCAACACACGAAUACGCACCAACAUACAAAUCUUCUUCGUUCGUGAAUUCGCCCAUUGGAUUCAAUUACGUCUAAGAAUGGUGCAGAUAUCUGAAAUAAAGGAUUAGAAGACUCUUACCGAAUCGAAGUUGAGGAAUUUUCCAACGCGGUGGCUCGUCGGUAACAGAUUCACAGGUAACUUGUGUCUUCUUUUCUCCUCCGCAUUUCCUCUUCUUUCUUCUGAGCGCUUCUUCUUCUCCCCUCUUCUUUGUUCUGAACACUUCUUCUUCUCCGUUCUUCUUCUCUUCUGUAGAUCGUAGUAAUGGAAAAAAGUUGUUGAUUCGUGAUAUUGCUUGCUGCGUUUUUCAUGGGUGUGCUUGAAUAAGGAGUGUAUUUAGUGUAAGGUUAAGAAAUAAUUGAGAUUGAGAGAGUUAGAUUUAUGGUUCUGGUUUUCGAGUGAAGUGAAGAAGUCCCCUCAAAAUGCAGAGUGAUGAACAUUUUAUAGAAGAGGGAAAGAGUUAAUAGAACUAACUCUGUUAACUGAUCCAGGUGAAAAAGUUGUUAGAACGUAAUACUCUGUUAGUCAUUGGGAGUUGAAAUUUCAGUUAGAAACGUUUUCAGUUAAAUCGAUUUCCUGAAUUAGUUAGCUAGGUUUUCUGUUAGUUAGAUUAGGUGUGAGUUAAUGUUAGUUACUCUAACUGCUAUGACUGGAAAUCCUAGAUGACUGAUCAAUGGAAGUUAUAUGGCUAUUGAAGGUAACGGCCUUCUGAAUAGGUUUGAUUCAAAUGCAAGUCAUGGUUGUUUUGAUCAGCUAAUGCAGGGUCCUGUGUUAUUGGAUUAUGCAGGUUUACACUUGGUCAGAUUUUGGAGUUGCUGAGUUGCUUCGAAUCCGGGUGGAAUUGGGAUUGAGUUAUUUUUACAGGUUUGUUAAUUAGUCGUGCCUUAACUUGAUUUUUCCUUUGGAAUAUGAGUAUGACCCUGUUAUAUGUGAUCUUCAUCUUGUACUCAUUUUGACUGGAUUGAUUGAAUAUGAAUGAUAGCAUUGCUCCACAGUUUGUUUUUGUUGCAAAUAUCAUGUUAGAUUUGGUUUGUUGUGAACUUAACUUGGAAUUUCACUAUUUUUUGUUUGUUGCUACUUGAAUGUCAUGGCUGCUAGUGUUUUGUGUUCUGUUGUCUCUGACUUGGGUAAAUGGUUGAAACUAAUUGUGAAAUUGGACAUGUUAAUUGGUUAGUUUGAACGUGAAUGGUAUAUCCUGUCUCUAAGUUAGCUUUAUGAAUUAAUUUUAUUAAUUGAUGUCAACUCGGGACCUCUUGCACCCUAAGUGAGAAUCAUACCACUAGACCUAAUGCCAAAGUAAUAAUCGAAGUUAAAUUAGUGAUAGUCUCAUAGAUUAGACAGAAAACGAGUCUUGGAUUCACACUUCUAUCUUUUUACAGAGUUAUUCUAACUCAGAUUCGCGGCAUCGCUCAUCCACCAACACUCCUUCAGGUAUCUAUCUACACAAUCCUUUUGUUAUAGACUUUUAAAAUUCAAUCAGUUUUUCAUUGGAAUUUGUUGUAGACUUGAGUUUUUUUGUUUCAUUCUUCAUUGGAAUUCAGUGAUGAAAUCGACUCUCCCAAACCCUAAUUGUUGUUUUUAAAUGUCAUUGCACUUUCAACCAUAAGCA